UAUGUAUAUUGUUGAUAGAAACUGAACUGCA
rnacentral:piRNA from 1 species